rnacentral:tRNA from 1 species
CAAGCGGUAGUUUUAACUCAGAAUUUUGGCCUUGGGUGUCAGUAGUGGGAGUGUGAAUCUCUCUCGUUUGA